UACGUAGGGCGCAAGCGUUAUCCGGAAUUAUUGGGCGUAAAGAGCUCGUAGGCGGUUUGUCGCGUCUGCCGUGAAAGUCCGGGGCUCAACUCCGGAUCUGCGGUGGGUACGGGCAGACUAGAGUGAUGUAGGGGAGACUGGAAUUCCUGGUGUAGCGGUGAAAUGCGUAGAUAUCGGGAGGAACACCAGUGGCGAAGGCGACUUCUUGGCCUGUUCUUGACGCUGAGGCGCGAAAGCUGGGGGAGCAAACGGG
rnacentral:rRNA from 1 species